rnacentral:rRNA from 1 species
AUUAAACGCUGGCGGCAUGCCUUACACAUGCAAGUCGAACGGCAGCACGGGGGCAACCCUGGUGGCGAGUGGCGAACGGGUGAGUAAAGCAUCGGAACGUGCCCUGGAGUGGGGGGAUAACGUAGCGAAAGUUACGCUAAUACCGCAUAUUCUGUGAGCAGGAAAGCAGGGGAUCGCAAGACCUUGCGCUCUGGGAGCGGCCGAUGUCGGAUUAGCUAGUUGGUGGGGUAAAGGCCUACCAAGGCGACGAUCCGUAGCGGGUCUGAGAGGAUGAUCCGCCACACUGGGACUGAGACACGGCCCAGACUCCUACGGGAGGCAGCAGUGGGGAAUUUUGGACAAUGGGCGAAAGCCUGAUCCAGCCAUGCCGCGUGAGUGAAGAAGGCCU